UAUAGGCAAAUCCGUAUUUGAUGCUGAAAUCCAAUAGUACCUGGAGGCUUCGGCCAAAGGGAUAGAGAACGUAAACAGACUUCCGAGAAAAUCUGCUAAGCAUAUUUUUAUGGUACCCGUACCGCAAACCGACACAGGUAGUCAAGUAGAAGAUACUAAGGUGCUCGAGUGAAUCAUGGCUAAGGAACUCGGCAAAAUUACCCUGUAACUUCGGGAGAAGGGGUGCCUCGCUGUAGCAAUACAGCAGGUCGCAGAGAAAUGGCCCAGGCGACUGUUUAACAAAAACACAUGCUAUGCGAAAUCGCAAGAUGAAGUAUAUGGCCUGACACCUGCCCGGUGCUGGAAGGUUAAGGGGGGACGUUAGUCGCAAGGCGAAGCGUUGAACUGAAGCCCCAGUAAACGGCGGCCGUAACUAUAACGGUCCUAAGGUAGCGAAAUUCCUUGUCGGGUAAGUUCCGACCUGCACGAAUGGUGUAACGAUCUGGGCGCUGUCUCGGCCAUGAGCUCGGUGGAAUUGUAGUCACGGUGAAGAUGCCGUGUACCCGUCACGGGACGGAAAGACCCCAUGCACCUUUACUAUAGCUUCACAUUGACAUUGGGAGAAUGAUGUGUAGGAUAGGCGGGAGGCUUUGAUCCGUGGCCGCUAGGUUACGGGGAGUCAACGGUGAAAUACCGCCCUUUAUUUUCUUGAUGUCUAACCAGAUCUGAUCUGGGACAUUGUGUGGUGGGUAGUUUGACUGGGGUGGUCGCCUCCGAAAGUGUAUCGGAGGCUUUCAAAGGUAUGCUCAGUACGCUUGGUAACCGUACGUGGAGUGCAAUAGCAUAAGCAUGCUUGACUGUGAGACUGACAAGUCGAGCAGGGACGAAAGUUGGAUAUAGUGAUCCGGUGGUUCUGCAUGGAAGGGCCAUCGCUCAAAGGAUAAAAGGUACGCUGGAUAACAGGCUGAUCUCCCCCAAGAGCUCAUAUCGACGGGGAGGUUUGGCACCUCGAUGUCGGCUCGUCACAUCCUGGGGCUGGAGAAGGUCCCAAGGGUUGGGCUGUUCGCCCAUUAAAGUGGCACGCGAGCUGGGUUCAGAACGUCGUGAGACAGUUCGGUCCCUAUCUGUGAUGGGCGUAGGAAGUUUGAGAGGAUCUGACCUUAGUACGAGAGGACCGGGUUGGACUAACCGCUGGUGUACCGGUUGUCGUGUCAGCGGCACUGCCGGGUAGCUAUGUUGGGACGGAAUAAGCGCUGAAAGCAUCUAAGCGCGAAAUCCACCUCGAGAUGAGACUUCCAUAUAGGGUCGUCAUAGACUAUGACGUUGAUAGGCUACAGGUGUAAAGUCAGAAAUGACAAAGCUGAGUAGUACUAAUUGCCCAA
rnacentral:rRNA from 1 species